GUCUCAGCUCGAGCAUUCCUAGCGCCAACACGCCCUCAGGUAAAGGUGGAAGUAAAUGGCCACGCUGUAUUGACAGAGGUAGGGUUUGUUUUUUAAUACUCGUUCUCACUUUAAGUCUCACCAGGGAGGGGUUUGGGAAGCACUGCGUGUUUGGGGGACGUUUUGCGCUUCCUGGUCUCUCCAGCCUACAAGUCGGGAGUCGGCGACCGCUUAGUGACGAGCGAUGAUUUUAAAGAGCAGAAUAAAAGGUUUUCCCGUGCCUGCCCCACAGCCCCUCCAGCUCGAAUAAUGGAGAACUGUCAAUGCACUCCGCGAGCGGUGGCCCAUUGUACGCAGCUGAUGGCGAGGAGGCGACUGGGGGUAGCAGGGGCUCCUUGCCCUCGUCCCUAUGCCCAAAUAAACGCGCAAACGCGCUCCCGUCUUCUGGUCAGUUAAAAGGUGAAACGAACACGAUUAAAAUAGACCAAAAGAAAAGAAAGAAAAGAAAACCUUUCUAUGUACAGAUUCUAAAUCGUACUCCCCAUACAGUCAGAGGCAGGGAGUCGAGGGCAGAGGCAGCAGGCGGAGAGAGGGAGAUAGGGCGAGGGAAGGAGAACGCGGAGAGAGACGAAGGGAGUGGGAGACCAGCGACAGCGAGCGCCAGGGCACCGCAGGCACACUGGAUGCCCAGUCCGCCGGCCCAGCCGCCCUCGGACCCUGGACCGUGCGUCGUGGGCACCAGAAACGAGACUCGGCCAAAUCCUGCCUCACCAGUUUAGAGAGUUGAUAUGUCCCGCGCCAUCAGCCCGCUGAAUGGGAUCUUCCUUCAGACAGGGACUGAGAAACGGAAAUACUACCAUCCUCCAGCCAAUCUGUUGGGAGGACUGCUUGCAGAGGACUCGUGCUCCAGAUGUUGCACUAGAGGCGCUGCAAGUGUGAGCAGCAGGUAGAUGAAACUCAAGAGAAAAGGUGUGGAUAAAUGAAACUAGCCCAUGAUGAACCUGUUUUCUCCGUGACCACAAUAUUAACCAGGAUGAAUGGCGGUGGCAGUGGGCCUGCAUCACAGGUUGCAGCAGAUGUUCUCAAUAUUUCUAUUAAAAUUUCCUUAUUUCCAUAUGCAAGAGGAGCCCCAGAGCUGCAUCCUUAUGGUAGCUACCAUGCCGUGAUGUAAGCUGCCAUUCACUGGGGAGCUUUGGCAAUAGAAUUGGCUAGAUCAGGAAGCCUAUGUCAACUAUGGAACAACAACUUGCAGCUCAUCUCUAUUGAUGGUGAAACAGUCGCAAAUGGAAUUCCAAGAAACAUUCUAUGUAAGUCCUGGCUUUGAAAUACUUUGUCAUCCUAAGAAGCUUGGACUUUAUCCUGUCAAAGAAAUGACAAAUCAGAUCAUUCCAGCUGCAGUAUGGAGAAUAGAGUGAAGUGGGGUAACACUGGUUUAGUGGCACAAAUUAAGCAUCUACGUAAGAGAGGAUAAUGACCUGAACUAGGGUUAAAGUAGUGGGGAUGGAGAUAAAUAGAUAGUUUGAGAGAAAUUAAGCAGAUAGAAUGACUAGGACUUGGCAGUUGACUGGAUAUGGUGGGCCUGGUGAAUGAGAGGCAGGAGUCAAGAUUGAUGGUCAGGUUUCUGACUUGGGCAGUGGGUAUAUAGUGAUGCUUGUACGAAGAUUGAGAAAGUAAAAGGGAAAGUAAAUAUCAAGCAGUUUCAAGCAGCAGUCAGCUGCUGGGCUGGCUCACCACACUUCUGUAGAUUCCGUUGAAAAGGAGACAAUGAGCCUAGAUAGAUUUAGACAGUUUAUUACUCAAAGCAAAGUAGGCAGCAUGAUCUUCAUGCAUCUAUGAAUUCCCCAAAUCCCAUGAUACAGAGUGAGGCCCAGACAGAUGCUGUGUACACGGUGGACCUGUGUCCUCCCAAUCUUAUAAGAGGCUACUUGCAAACUUGCCCAAAAUCAUUGUCCUGGAGGUUGACAUUAUCUUUGUUAUGCUGGUCAGGAAACAAAUGUACCCUCUAACCCAGAAGCAUAUCCUGUCUUUACUCAGAGACAAAUAAAAACACCAUGGACAAUUACCUUUCAACAGUAAGAGAAUGCUUUCCAUUUUGGACAUAAUGAAUUUGAAAUGCCCAUGAUAUCUAAAUAAAGGUAUUCAGUAGAUAAUAAGCUGUUUUGAAGGAAUAUUUGGUAUAGUGUUUAUAGAAAUGAGAUAAUAAAACAAUAAAAUAUAUAAACUUUGGCUAUGUUAAUAACGUGAUAGUUGCUUGUAAGAUAGUUACAGCAGGUGGUUACUGUGUUGCCUAAUUAAACAUCAUGAUAGAAUCUUAAUAUGUGUAAAAUUUAUAAUUUUAUUCAUCACAAACUGAAUUCACCUAGGCUUAGUCCUCUGCUGCUUUUGAGGUUUGAUGAUCUGCUAACAAUCUCAGAAAAUGAGAGAGUUGUGUGGUGGCAGUAUAUUUAUAACACACUAUGGAACUGGCCUUAUAACUGUGACUUUUGCCUGCUUUUAGUCCAGACCAGCCCUCUUCAAUAGAAAUAAGAUAAAUGCAAACAUCAAAUGUGAGCCACAUACAUAAUUUAAAAAUUUCUAGUAGCCACAUUAAAAAACCUAAAAGGAAGCAAGUGAAAUUAAUUUUUAUAAUAUACUUUAACCCAAUAUAUCGAAAUAUUGUUUCAACAUGUAAUCAACAUAAAAUUAUUAGUGAGAUAUUUUACAUUUUUUUCAUGCUAAAUCUUUGAAAUCCGGUGUGUAUCUUACAUUUACGGCUUAUCUCAAUUUGGACUUGACACAUUGCAAGUGCUCAAUAGCUAUGUGUAGCUAUUGACUACUAUUUUGGACAGUGCAAUUCUAGACCUCAAGAACAAGAAGUUAUAUUUUAUCAUGUAUGAUGAAUAUAGUUUUUCUUUGUAUGUUAGAGGACUAAAUACUGUGGUAUGUUUUUUAUCUUAAACAAUUGAAUACCAAGAAUAGCUAACAUUAUAAUGAAAAAACAAAUGGUCAGUGAAUUUACAUGGUAUUUAAUUUUUUUUUUUUUUUGGAGAUAAUGAGUUUCACUUAAAAUCAGCUAGGUAUUACUGUGUCUAAUAUAGGCAUCUUGGAAGGUAAAUUAGGGCUGUAGGUUGUAUCAUUAGGUCCUUGAGUGUAAACCUCUCCAGGAUUUCACUAAGUGGACCAGGUAGUCAGGUGAUUUAAAUUAUAAUUAAUGUUCAUCCUUUACCCUUGGGAAUAUAUUACGUGUUGGUAGAAUUUGUUCCAUUAUUUUAUAUAAUGAGGUGCCUCAUAAUUUUGUGGCUUGUGAACAAAUGUUCACAUUUGUGAACUUAUUUACCAUGUUGACAAAUGUAUUGGCUUUAUAGUACAGAAGCAUCUCAAAAACCUAAAAGAUUUCUGUUAAGUAAUUUAAUGAAAAACAGACAUUGAUGGGAAAAGUCAGCCAUCCUAGUGCCCUCAAUACAGCAGUUGGAAAUAAUAUACUUUUGAAUGUCUGAAAUAUGUUAGUGGUUUUAGAAAAAGACUAGGUAAGUCAUUUGAGAAACUUAAGAAGACCUAAGAAACUGGCAAUACAUGGUAAUAGCUUACUGAGUUUGCUUUGGGUAAACUCAGUAAGUCAUGGAACUUGCUAUGCAUUUUGGUGGGGAUACCUUUAAUUCUAAUUGGUGAAAUGCAGUCACUUUGAAUUGUAUGUUGAGGGAAUGUUCUCAGGGAAAAGUGAGUUUCUGUGUUGAAUGACUAAGUGAAAGCACUUGACUAUUUGUAAAGCCUGUGGGUAUCUCUUUGAUGUUGAUUAUUAUCUGUGAUUGUUUGUUGAGGGUUUUCUGUUUGUUUUUUAAAACACUUGGGAAAAGCAAAUGGUGAGUGUUACAAUUUAAACAGAUUUUCUUUUAGAGAAUGUUCUGUAGGAAAAGACAAAUAGUUCUACUUGAUCCUUGUUUGUUGAUGCUUUUAUUUGAUUUCAUAUUUAUUGAUACAAACAGCUUUAAACAUUAGAUUAAUUCUAUAAUAAAGUGAUACAGAAGUGGAUGUGUUAUGGGGAAUAGUAUUGAAUAAAGAAGACAGAAGCAGUA
rnacentral:lncRNA from 1 species